rnacentral:rRNA from 1 species
GACGAACGCUGGCGGCGUGCUUAACACAUGCAAGUCGAACGGAAAGGCCCUGCUUUUGUGGGGUGCUCGAGUGGCGAACGGGUGAGUAACACGUGAGUAACCUGCCCUUGACUUUGGGAUAACUUCAGGAAACUGGGGCUAAUACCGGAUAGGAGCUCCUGCUGCAUGGUGGGGGUGGGAAAGUUUCGGCGGUUGGGGAUGGACUCGCGGCUUAUCAGCUUGUUGGUGGGGGAGUGGCUUACCAAGGCUUUGACGGGUAGCCGGCCUGAGAGGGUGACCGGCCACAUUGGGCCUGCGAUACGGCCCAGACUCCUACGGGAGGCAGCAGUGGGGAAUAUUGCACAAUGGGAGGAAGCCUGAUGCAGCAACGCCGCGUGCGGGAUGACGGCCUUCGGGUUGUAAACCGCUUUCGCCUGUGACGACGCGUGAGUGACGGUAAUGGGUAAAGAAGCACCGGCUAACUACGUG